UACGUAGGGUGCAAGCGUUGUCCGGAAUUAUUGGGCGUAAAGAGCUCGUAGGCGGUUUGUCGCGUCUGCUGUGAAAACCCGAGGCUCAACCUCGGGCCUGCAGUGGGUACGGGCAGACUAGAGUGCGGUAGGGAGAUUGGAAUUCCUGGUGUAGCGGUGGAAUGCGCAGAUAUCAGGAGGAACACCAAUGGCGAAGGCAGAUCUCUGGGCCGUAACUGACGCUGAGGAGCGAAAGCAUGGGGAGCGAACAG
rnacentral:rRNA from 1 species